rnacentral:rRNA from 1 species
AUUGAACGCUGGCGGCAGGCCUAACACAUGCAAGUCGAACGGUAACAGGAAGAAGCUUGCUUCUUUGCUGACGAGUGGCGGACGGGUGAGUAAUGUCUGGGAAACUGCCUGAUGGAGGGGGAUAACUACUGGAAACGGUAGCUAAUACCGCAUAACGUCGCAAAACCAAAGAGGGGGACCUUCGGGCCUCUUGCCAUCGGAUGUGCCCAGAUGGGAUUAGCUAAUAGGUGGGGUAACGGCUCACCUAGGCGACGAUCCCUAGCUGGUCUGAGAGGAUGACCAGCCACACUGGAACUGAGACACGGUCCAGACUCCUACGGGAGGCAGCAGUGGGGAAUAUUGCACAAUGGGCGCAAGCCUGAUGCAGCCAUGCCGCGUGUAUGAAGAAGGCCUUCGGGUUGUAAAGUACUUUCAGCGGGGAGGAAGGGAGUAAAGUUAAUACCUUUGCUCAUUGACGUUACCCGCAGAAGAAGCACCGGCUAACUCCGUG